CUUCAUUUCUACGAUAAUCUCAUUUUCCCUCUAUUCCUUCCUUGCACUGUAUGUUCAUGUUUCAUUUCCCCACUGCUUUUGAAAAUCCUUUCACGUUUUGUGAUUUGGGCUUUAGAUAUCUGCUUGUGGUGCUAAAGUGGAUUUUGUAUUCAGAAUCUCAUUUUCUAAAAGUCAGCUUUGUGUCUUUUUAUUUUUUUAAAGGUUUUAUUUACUUAUUUGAGAGAGAUGAUGAACAGAAGGAAGAGGGAGAGAGAAUCUGAAGCUGACUCUAUGCUGAGCUCGGAGCCGGAUGUGGUGCUCUAUCCCAUGACUGUCAUGAGAUCAUGACCUGAGCCAAAACCAAGAGUCGGAUACUUAACCAACUGAGCCAUCCAGGAAGCCAGGCUGACUUGUGAUGAAAGAUGAUGAAGACAAAUCCUAAACAGGGCUUCCUGUUUGCUUAAACCUCCAACCCAAGAGAAAAUCGCUUCCAGUUUCCCUGGACAAUCAUGG